rnacentral:rRNA from 1 species
GACGGAGGGUGCUAGCGUUGUUCGGAAUUACUGGGCGUAAAGGGCGCGUAGGCGGCUGCUCAAGUCGGGUGUGAAAGCCCGGGGCUCAACCCCGGAACGGCACCCGAGACUGGGCGGCUCGAGACCGGGAGAGGUGGGUGGAAUACCCAGUGUAGAGGUGAAAUUCGUAGAUAUUGGGUGGAACACCGGUGGCGAAGGCGGCUCACUGGCCCGAUACUGACGCUGAGGCACGAAAGCGUGGGGAGCAAACAGG